rnacentral:rRNA from 1 species
UACGUAGGGGGCAAGCGUUGUCCGGAAUCAUUGGGCGUAAAGCGCGUGUAGGCGGCCCGAUAAGUCCGCUGUGAAAUUCCAGGGCUCAACCCUGGGAUGCCGGUGGAUACUGUCGGGCUCGAGUCCGGAAGAGGAGUGUGGAAUUCCUGGUGUAGCGGUGAAAUGCGCAGAUAUCGGGAGGAACACCAGUAGCGAAGGCGGCUCGCUGGGCCAUUCCUGACGCUGAGACGCGAAAGCUAGGGGAGCGAACAGG